AUAACAAUACAGGACACUUUCCAGGCCCUGUAAUUGGAAUGUGUCCAGUUUAAAUCCUUUAACGAGGAUCUAUUGGAGGGCAAGUCUGGUGCAAAGCGACUGAUCUGUGCUUGCUGCAU